rnacentral:tRNA from 1 species
AUUUAUAUAAUUUAAAUAAAAAUAUUACAUUUUCAUUGUAAAUAUAGAUAAUAUCUUAUAAAUA